GACGAACGCUGGCGGCGUGCUUAACACAUGCAAGUCGAGCGAGAACCAGGCCUUCGGGCCUGGGGACGAGCGGCGAACGGGUGAGUAACACGUGGGUAAUCUGCCCUCGGUUCCGGAAUAGCCCGGGGAAACCCGGAUUAAUGCCGGAUAGCCUCUUGAGCUUUCGGGCUCUCGAGAAAAGGUAGCUUUGGCCUCUGACCGAGGAUGAGCCCGCGGCGGAUUAGCUUGUUGGCGGGGUAACGGCCCACCAAGGCAACGAUCCGUAGCUGGUCUGAGAGGACGAUCAGCCACACUGGGACUGAGACACGGCCCAGACUCCUACGGGAGGCAGCAGUGGGGAAUCUUGCGCAAUGGGCGAAAGCCUGACGCAGCGACGCCGCGUGGGGAAGAA
rnacentral:rRNA from 1 species